AAUGCGCAUGCGCGAGGAGCGAGCCGCUUCUCCCCAUCACAGCGAUUCCCAGGGUUGUCGUAGAAACCACUCCCUGAGGCUUGGCAAAGCAGGAGCCCUCCGUGGCAGGGCUUCGGUGUCGGGGCUCCGAGGCUCUGGCCUGACUUCUCCAUGGGGUCCACAGGAGCGUCUCUGGAUGCCAGGACCUGAAAUGGGCCGACCAGGAUGACGAAACCACAGACAAGAGGCCGGGGAAGCAGCGCGGCAUCCCAUCCUCAGGCCUGCCCGGACGGUGUUCGGGAUCAAGAGGACCACAGUCCAGCCCAGGACAAAAGCCCCACGGUAGCACAUUGUCCGGCAGGAGAGGAGCAGACCCACGUCCAAGAAGAUGGUUGUACCUUUCCACGCCUCUUCUCUGCGAAAUGAAGCCACACCACGACACAAUCUUGAAGAGGAAGCCGGGAAUGGGAGACAGCAACAAUCCUUGUCCCUGGAACGCUGGCCUCUAUGGACAAGCCACCCGCUUCGCACCCCUCCCCUUAUGCCCGUGGCGGUGGCACGGCGCCGUAUCCUGCCUGGGCUCUGGCCUCUGCUCUGUCCUCCCUCUUCCUCUGUCUCCCCUGUUUCUCAGCGGCCUAGAUGCCUCUUGGUCUGGCUGAAUAUCUUCUAUGAAGAUCACUUCCCCGUCCAUCAGGGAGACAAUUCCUGGAGAUUCGUGUCAUGACUGUUUCUCUCUCCAAACCUGUUUCUGCUGGAUUGGGCAGGUCUGAUGACCCUGGAGCUCUUGGCUACCAUACGUGUCUCAGACAGAAUCAUCUCCCCUGCCCCACAAACAUGAAAGAAAAGACAAGAGAAGCACCCCAGAAGAGGAGGGGAGAAGUGCCCCAGAAAAAAUCAUCCAGUCUCUGAAGCUUUGCCCAGGAUCCAUUGCUGCAGCUUCCUGAAGUUGUGUCCGUUAAAAGGCAGGGACCCGGUGUCCAGGCUACAGAGGGUGACUCCAGGUUCCACACCACCACUGUGGACCAGUGUGCCUAUGGACUUAGGAGAGUUCCCAGCUCACACAAGGGGGCUGCCCCAGAGGGUGUUCAGCUUGUUGCCAACAGUUGCUGAAGCCAAAGUCUGCAACCUUGAUGUUCAGGUCAAGCAGCCAGAAACAGGUGUUCUGGCUUUAGGUCCCUGUGGACAAUGCCAUUCUCUCCUUCCCAGGCUACUGAUGUCCUGGGUUGCUCCUCUUAUGGUGGAAGCUCAAGAUGGAAUGGCUGGAGCUUGGCUGCCUCCGGUUAGAGCCUGGGCUCUGUAUUGCAGACGUCACCUGGCAGAAUUCCUCAUGGGCCCCUUUUGUCGUGGGUGCGACUGCUGGGCCAGGGUUGUCGUGGGUAGUAAAGGUAUUUACCAAGACAACUGUGAGUAAAGAAAGGCAAAUUUAUUACAGAAACUAUGAAAAUACAUUGCAAGAAUGCAGCAUGCAGCACAGCAGAGAAGGGGCUGUCUGCAAAGAUGAAGGACUGGAGGGAAGUUUUCUAAGGUUGUGCUGGACGGGGCUAUGUGCAGGUGAGCUUGUGCUAUAUGCUAAGAUAUGUUGGAAUAAUUUUAACUGCCAGACCUUUCCUCUUCUGGUGCCCGAGGGAAACGCCCUGCUGCUUUUAGCUGUCUUGUAACCCACACGCCUUUUCACUUCUGAAGUUGCAAGAUAACGGCUGUGGUUUUUCACACAAAAGGGUUGCAGACUGUUAGGUCCCUGUUCCGCCAACCUGGCUCUUUCCCAGUUUCAGUUAACUUAGUGGUUUACUAGAGCCCCACACCUUUCUCUUUCAUAUGGCCAUGAUCCAGGAGGUAAUCCGUCACCUCUCCUCCGCUAGAGUGCUCCAUGGCCAGGGGUAAUCCUCACCUCUCCUCCGCUAGAGUGUUCCAUGGCCAGGCAGUGUUUCCUGGGUCCAGAGCACCUCAAACAAUUUCAGUGUUGUGGUGACUCAGGGCCUUCACCAUACAGACUUGACAGCAUAGUCUAGAAGCUGGAGGGGCUCUGUGACUCCAUUAAUGACAGUCACUGCCACGGUUUCCCCAGGCAGGAUGUGCCAGGAGAACUGCUCCAUGUUGGCUCAGCAGAAUGUUGUUAUAGGUAGCUCAAAAAGAGAGGGAACAGGGCUUCUCUAGAUUAUUUCAGGGAAUGAGCUAUUAUUUGAAUGUUAAUUUGACUAUUUUAUCAAUUAAAAAUGUAAGGCCCAAGAAACUUCAGUUAGGAAGAAUGAACAAAUUGAAUAAAUACUGUUAAACUUU
rnacentral:sRNA from 1 species